rnacentral:rRNA from 1 species
UACGAGGGGUGCAAGCGUUGCUCGGAAUUAUUGGGCGUAAAGAGCGCGCAGGCGGUCGUUCAAGUCGAGUGUGAAAGCCCCCGGCUCAACUGGGGAGGGUCACUCGAUACUGAUCGACUCGAAGGCAGGAGAGGGUAGUGGAAUUCCCGGUGUAGUGGUGAAAUGCGUAGAUAUCGGGAGGAACACCAGUGGCGAAGGCGACUACCUGGCCUGUUCUUGACGCUGAGGCGCGAAAGCUAGGGGAGCAAACGGG